AGUGAACGCUGGCGGUAGGCCUAACACAUGCAAGUCGAACGGCAGCACAGUAAGAGCUUGCUCUUACGGGUGGCGAGUGGCGGACGGGUGAGGAAUACAUCGGAAUCUACUUUUUCGUGGGGGAUAACGUAGGGAAACUUACGCUAAUACCGCAUACGACCUACGGGUGAAAGCAGGGGAUCUUCGGACCUUGCGCGAUUGAAUGAGCCGAUGUCGGAUUAGCUAGUUGGCGGGGUAAAGGCCCACCAAGGCGACGAUCCGUAGCUGGUCUGAGAGGAUGAUCAGCCACACUGGAACUGAGACACGGUCCAGACUCCUACGGGAGGCAGCAGUGGGGAAUAUUGGACAAUGGGCGCAAGCCUGAUCCAGCCAUACCGCGUGGGUGAAGAAGGCCUUCGGGUUGUAAAACCCUUUUGUUGGGAAAGAAAAGCAGCAGGUUAAUACCCCGCUGUUCUGACGGUACCCAAAGAAUAAGCAUCGGCUAACUUCGUG
rnacentral:rRNA from 1 species